CGUAUUAACUGUUCGAUAUCACAUACCAUAUAUCUAAGCGACAUCUUGCGAAACAAAAAAACAGCAAAGGUACAAAAAGUUGGCGGAAGAAAAAAAAAAUAAUAAUAAUAAUAAUAAUCAGAACAAACCCUAUAGGUCUUUCAACUGAAAAGUUGAAAGACCUAAUAAUCAGAAGAAAUCCAAUAGGUCUUUCCACGGAAAAGUGGAAAGACCUAAUUAAAAACCAAUUAAUCAGAAAACAAUUGAAGGUCUUUC
rnacentral:lncRNA from 1 species